rnacentral:rRNA from 1 species
GACGAACGCUGGCGGCGUGCUUAACACAUGCAAGUCGAACGAUGAAGGAGAGCUUGCUCUCCGGAUUAGUGGCGAACGGGUGAGUAACACGUGACUAACCUGCCCCUUUCUCUGGGAUAACGCUCCGAAAGGAGUGCUAAUACCGGAUACGAACUCUGAACACAUGUUCGGAGUUGGAAAGUUUUUCGGAAAGGGAUGGAGUCGCGGCCUAUCAGCUUGUUGGUGAGGUAAUGGCUCACCAAGGCGACGACGGGUAGCCGGCCUGAGAGGGCGACCGGCCACACUGGGACUGAGACACGGCCCAGACUCCUACGGGAGGCAGCAGUGGGGAAUAUUGCACAAUGGGCGAAAGCCUGAUGCAGCGACGCCGCGUGAGGGAUGAAGGUCUUCGGAUUGUAAACCUCUUUCAGUAGGGACGAAGCGAAAGUGACGGUACCUAAAGAAGAAGCACCGGCUAACUACGUGCCAGCCGCCGCGGUAAAAC